rnacentral:rRNA from 2 species
GGUAUUGAUUGGUGCUUGCAUCAUGAUUUACAUUUGAGUGAGUGGCGAACUCGGUGAGUAACACGUGGGAAACCUGCCCAGAAGCGGGGGAUAACACCUGGAAACAGAUGCUAAUACCGCAUAACAACUUGGACCGCAUGGUCCGAGUUUGAAAGAUGGCUUCGGCUAUCACUUUUGGAUGGUCCCGCGGCGUAUUAGCUAGAUGGUGGGGUAACGGCUCACCAUGGCAAUGAUACGUAGCCGACCUGAGAGGGUAAUCGGCCACAUUGGGACUGAGACACGGCCCAAACUCCUACGGGAGGCAGCAGUAGGGAAUCUUCCACAAUGGACGAAAGUCUGAUGGAGCAACGCCGCGUGAGUGAAGAAGGGUUUCGGCUCGUAAAACUCUGUUGUUAAAGAAGAACAUAUCUGAGAGUAACUGUUCAGGUAUUGACGGUAUUUAACCAGAAAGCCACGGCUAACUACGUGCCAGCAGCCGCGGUAAUACGUAGGUGGCAAGCGUUGUCCGGAUUUAUUGGGCGUAAAGCGAGCGCAGGCGGUUUUUUAAGUCUGAUGUGAAA